AUGGCCGAGAAGGAGGCCGGCAACCUCGAGGCCGUCCUCAAGGAGGUCGUCGACCUGGAGAACAUACCCCUGGAGGAGGUGUUCGACAACCUGAGAUGCAGCCGCGCCGGCCUCACCGCGGAGCAGGCGCAGCAGCGCCUCCAAAUCUUCGGCGCCAACAAGCUGGAGGAGAAGGAGGAGAGCAAGGUCCUCAAGUUCCUGGGCUUCAUGUGGAACCCGCUCUCCUGGGUCAUGGAGGCCGCCGCCAUCAUGGCCAUCGCGCUCGCCAACGGAGGGAAUAAGCCGCCGGACUGGCAGGACUUCAUCGGCAUCAUCACCCUGCUGGUUAUCAACUCCACCAUCAGUUUCAUCGAGGAGAACAAUGCCGGCAACGCCGCCGCCGCGCUCAUGGCCCGUCUCGCGCCCAAAGCCAAGAUUCUUCGCGAUGGCCGGUGGACCGAGGAAGACGCGGCCAUCCUUGUGCCAGGGGACGUCAUCAGCAUCAAGCUCGGAGACAUCAUACCUGCAGAUGCACGCCUCCUAGAGGGAGACCCUCUCAAGAUUGAUCAGUCUGCCCUCACUGGAGAAUCAUUGCCGGCCACCAAAGGCCCCGGUGAUGGCGUCUACUCCGGUUCGACCGUCAAGCAAGGUGAGAUCGAAGCCGUCGUGAUCGCCACCGGUGUUCACACCUUCUUCGGAAAGGCUGCGCACCUUGUUGACUCCACUAACCAAGUGGGCCAUUUUCAGAAGGUUCUGACGGCCAUUGGGAACUUCUGCAUUUGUUCGAUUGGUGUGGGAAUGUUCAUCGAGAUCAUUGUAAUGUAUCCUAUCCAGCACAGGGCGUACCGCCCUGGAAUUGACAACCUCUUGGUCCUUCUCAUUGGAGGCAUUCCCAUAGCCAUGCCGACAGUCUUAUCCGUGACUAUGGCUAUCGGGUCACAUCGAUUAUCUCAACAGGGAGCUAUCACAAAGAGAAUGACUGCAAUCGAGGAGAUGGCGGGCAUGGAUGUCCUUUGCAGUGACAAAACUGGGACUUUGACUCUCAAUAAGCUUACUGUGGACAAGAACCUUGUUGAGGUUUUCGAAAGAGGCAUCACUCAGGACCAAGUGAUUCUCAUGGCUGCUAGAGCGUCUCGAACAGAAAACCAAGAUGCUAUCGAUACUGCAAUUGUUGGGAUGCUAGCUGAUCCGAAAGAGGCACGUGCUGGUAUUCAAGAAGUUCAUUUUCUGCCAUUCAAUCCUACUGACAAGAGAACGGCGCUGACAUACAUUGACGCUGAUGGCAAAAUGCACCGUGUUAGUAAGGGUGCACCCGAGCAGAUUCUUCACCUCGCUCACAACACAUCGGAAAUAGAGCGGAGGGUCCAUGCUGUGAUUGACAAAUUUGCAGAGCGUGGACUUCGAUCGCUGGCUGUAGCGUAUCAGGAAGUACCAGAUGGGAGGAAAGAAAGCCCUGGUGGCCCAUGGCACUUUGCUGGUCUGAUGCCACUUUUUGAUCCUCCUAGACAUGACAGUGCUGAAACAAUCCGGAGGGCACUUAACCUUGGUGUUAAUGUCAAGAUGAUCACAGGUGAUCAGCUCGCCAUUGGAAAGUCAACAGGGCGUCGCCUGGGAAUGGGUACAAACAUGUAUCCUUCAUCUGCUCUGUUGGGGCAGAAAAAUUCAGACGAGUCCAUUUCUGCUUUACCAGUUGAUGAUCUCAUUGAGAAAGCUGAUGGUUUUGCUGGCGUCUUCCCUGAGCACAAGUAUGAGAUUGUGAAACGCCUGCAAGCACGAAAGCACAUCUGUGGAAUGACGGGUGAUGGAGUAAAUGAUGCUCCAGCUCUAAAGAAAGCAGAUAUUGGUAUUGCUGUUGCUGAUGCCACUGAUGCAGCCAGGAGUGCUUCAGAUAUUGUCCUCACAGAACCAGGCCUCAGCGUGAUCAUCAGUGCUGUGCUUACCAGUCGUGCAAUUUUCCAGCGUAUGAAGAACUACACUAUCUAUGCUGUCUCCAUCACAAUUCGUAUUGUGCUUGGAUUUAUGCUACUUGCCCUCAUCUGGAAGUUCGACUUUCCACCGUUCAUGGUCCUGAUCAUAGCGAUUCUAAAUGAUGGUACCAUCAUGACUAUAUCAAAGGAUCGGGUAAAACCAUCUCCACUACCCGACAGCUGGAAGCUGGCUGAGAUUUUCACAACUGGAGUUAUCCUUGGUGGAUACUUGGCAAUAAUGACGGUCAUCUUCUUCUGGGCUGCGUACAAGACAAACUUUUUCCCGAGAUUGUUUCAUGUCGAAAGCCUCGAGAAGACAGCUCAGGACGAUAUCCAAAAGCUCGCGGCUGCCAUUUACCUCCAAGUCAGCACCAUCAGCCAAGCUCUCAUCUUUGUCACCAGGUCACGCAGCUGGUCAUUUGCCGAGCGUCCUGGGUUUCUACUGGUCUUUGCAUUCUUCGUUGCGCAGCUGAUUGCUACACUGAUCGCGGUGUAUGCUGACUGGCCGUUCACUCAGAUCAAAGGCAUCGGGUGGGGCUGGGCUGGCGUCGUGUGGCUCUACAAUAUCAUCACAUACCUCCCGCUCGAUAUCAUCAAGUUCCUCAUCCGAUACACUCUGAGCGGCAAAGCAUGGGAUCUCGUCAUCGAUCAAAGGAUUGCGUUCACAAGGAAGAAAGACUUCGGCAAGGAGGAGAGGGAGCUCAAGUGGGCACACGCUCAGAGGACCCUCCAUGGGCUGCAGCCACCGGAUGCUAAGAUGUUCUCGGAGAAGGGGGCCUACAAUGAGCUGAAUCACAUGGCUGAAGAGGCCAAGAGGAGGGCCGAGAUUGCAAGGUUGAGGGAGCUUCAUACUGUGAAACUGUACUGGCAUGUAGGAUGUAUGGGAAUCGGAAAUGCCAACCGACCCUAUUGUAGAGGUUAA
rnacentral:rRNA from 1 species